AAUAUUCAAACACUGUCGGACAACCUGUUGCGCGCCAACACUAACACACAUGCAUGUAUAUAUAUACGUGUGCGCGCGCGCGUGUAUAUGCACCGUUGAGUCGCGGCUCGCAGCAUUUUUGUCGUUCCUGAAUGACACCUGCGCGUUAUGGCGCGAUUUCAGGGUUAGACGCCAUCUUCAUUGAGCGAUCUGGAUCAUGACGUCGAAUCUUUCAUUAUCAAUAAUAUUGUGAACAAUUUUAUUCCAGCAAGCAAACAAAAAACCAGACAUGCUUGAAAAUGGCACAAUUUCACCAUGACAAUAAUGGCAAUUUUCAUCAGAAAACUUGCAAUUACCAUCGAGAAAAUAUGGACAUGGAAUCAUCUCUUUGUGCGUUGGAUUGAGAAAGAGCACUCGAACCUAGAAUUGAUAAUCAAAUGGAUAAUCAAAGCCAAAGAUGAAAUAAAAAAAAAAAUA